rnacentral:rRNA from 1 species
UACGUAGGGUGCUAGCGUUGUUCGGAAUUACUGGGCGUAAAGCGAGCGUAGGCGGUGUUCCAUGUCAGAGGUGAAAGCCUGGGGCUCAACCCCAGAAUUGCCUUUGAAACGGGGACGCUUGAGUCCGAGAGAGGAUGGCGGAAUUCCUAGUGUAGAGGUGAAAUUCGUAGAUAUUAGGAAGAACACCGGUGGCGAAGGCGGCCAUCUGGCUCGGUACUGACGCUCAGGUUCGAAAGCGUGGGGAGCAAACAGG